UUUCAGAGGGCUUCCUCCACACAGGCUGCUGGGCCUAUCCCAAAGCAGCAAGGGGGAGGAGAGGCAGGGGCAAGAUGUACAAGAAAGAACAGUCGGGGGUGGGGGUGGAGUGGGGGACACAACAAGGACAACACGUGGGAGCAGGAGGGGAGACUGGACUCUGCCUACCUUGAACAGCAGCAUACUUCUUCACUCAACAAAGUUUCUAAACUUGGGCCACCUGAGAAAGGAGGAGAAGGGCUGUCCUGACGGUGGUAGAAGUCUCCCUCUCAAUAAGUAAAUGGGGUGGUAUGAGGGAAGCCAUGGCCUUUCUGGGAAAGCCCUGGGGGUCAGUCUUUCUGCAGGUAUGGCGGAGCAGAAUCACUGACUUGUGAAAGCUCUCCAGGCCCUUCCUACAAGCCUCUGGGACAACCAAGACGGUGGCCUUUCAGAGCUGGGAUUGAGCACUUCCUCGGAAGAGCGCGGGUACCCAAACCCCUUCUCAGUCUCCAGUCCUACACUGGUCCUUUAUUCCAUCAUCGUCCUACCGUUUUUCUGACCUUCCCUGGGUCAGAGCAUCGUGGGCCAGAUCAGAGCUCCUCCAAGGCACAGCUUAGACCUUGGUAACCCUGAUACCUACACAGUACCUGCACUUGGUGCAUACAAGUGAAUAAUUUUGGUGAGAACUUUAAUAAAACCGUAUAU
rnacentral:lncRNA from 1 species